UCUAUAAAGCCAGGGAGCUGAUGGCGGCGAGAGGCUGCAGGGAGUAGGUUGCAGUCACUCCCUGGGGGGAGGGAGUUGUGAGGCUGGCAAACCCAGAGCCAGAAGGUAUGGAAGAAGCUUAGGGAAGGGUAGUAAGGUCCAGGAGGGAACAGAUCUUGGCUGCAGAAGAAAAGGCCAUGGAGAUGGAACCCAGAACAGGGGGCGGGCCUGGGUUCCCCUCCCGCCACUGAGGAAGCGGCACCGGCUUGGCAGUGAAUGGGAAGACUUCCUGAGCCCAUUUGACAGGAGAAACUUUGGUACCAGGGAAAGGAGAAACACAAAUAGUGACCUGGUCAGAGGGCCCAGUCACGAAGAGGAGGCUGCAGGGCCCAGAGCAAGAGAGUGGCCACAGAGAGAGAGCAGCAGCAGGGCAUGCAGCGAGCAGCAGAAGGGGACCUUGGGCCUGGAAAGAUUCCCUAGAGCUGCCAGGAGGAGGCGCCACCUACACAGACGAAGGAGGUACGAGAUAUGACAGUCUUCAGUGGUUCGCACCUGAAAUCUACUUUCCACAGGAGUACUGAAAGAGGACAAGAAAGCAUAGUCCAAAUAGGAUUCAACUGGAACACUUACCAGCCCAUCACACGUGCUAAGAGCUGCUAAACCACCUUUCAGCGCCCAGUUCUGGACCUCUCCAAGCAUGUGACAAAAGUUGUGAUUAUAAGACUGGAUCUUGGCAUUGGUGAUUCCUCC